CAGCCCUGUUACCCACUGCACUAGGAUGGCAGAGGGAGAAUGGGUAGAGCUCUGAGGGUGCAUCGCUCCAGUAGGUGCUGAGAACAGGGGUCAAAGAAGAAGAGCCCAGACCAGGAGCUGGGCCAGGUGCAGACGUCAGUUGUGGGAGCCAGCUAAACCAUCCAGAACCGUGCCAGUGUGUGUUCUCAUGCCUACAGGCAGCCCCUCCUGGAGCUCAUCAUGGGCUCACUUUGUAUAGCAGCAAGAGGACAUUUUAUGGACUCUUUGAAGGACUUCGCUGGACAUGCUGUCAUCGCUAACAUAGAUGUAUGUCUAUGGCUUGGAAGGUGGUCUCUCCAAGGAGGAUGUAAAAUGUUGACAAACAGGUUGAAGUUGGAACCUGUGCCAGCUGCACUGUGCUUGCUUCCUGUUCCCCAUACCCCUAGCCCUUGUGGCUGAGGACACAGAAAGGGCCCCCACUGUCUGGAAUACAGCUCUGAAAAAGGAGAGGAAAAAUUCCAGCAGAACCGAACUGGCACGACCUGGUCUUAUCAUAAUACCACGGUUCGAAAUGUCUUGACCCAGCACCCCCAGCAAGGUACUCUGCUAUGGAAAAGAGCACAUAUAGAAUAGCUUCCCAACCAGAACAACAACAAAAAAAUACAACA